ACCAGUAUUCCCCACUGCCCAUUGAGACACUCUGUGUCCUUACUCCUUAGAGACCAAAGCAUAUAGCACUCUUCUUAAAGACAAGGCGUUUGGAACUGUAGAUAUUGGAUUGGCCCCCACUUUUUACAGCCCAAAACCAUCUUGAAGUGUGGCUUCCAUGUGGUGCUUUCUUAUUUUCCUCUCUUUUCUCAAAUUUUUGUCCAAUUCUUAAGUGCUUUUCAGGUUCCCUUAAUAGGCCACAGUUUCUUUUCUGUCAGGGUUCGCUGUUUUCCACACGCAGAUCAAGCCCGUCUGGAUGACCCUUCUAGGUGCCUAAAUUGAAACAUGGAGGCAACGUUGCAGAACUGACAAGACAUCUGGCCGUAUCAAAAUGAGCAGAGACCCAUUCACCCUUUUCCAUUGACUUCCCAAAGCAAUGAGGGUAUGGAAGGGACUGCAGAGAUUUUUGAGAGAGAUGUUUUCCAUCUUCCCGUGCUGCCAGUUGAGAGGACAACAUUCGAAAGACAGUUACGUGGUAGGCUAUUCCUUGGAAGUCACUCAUGUCAGGCUUCUCGGAUACACAACUGUGCUGCGCGGCUGUCAGCGUUGCGGUCUCAUCCAACACUGGAGACUUUGGCGCCAUCCCUGCGGACACCACUUCUGCCGUGAGUGCAUGGAUCAGAUCAUAGAUGAUGGUUUCCGCGACAUCGAGGGGCUUGGCUCAAGUCCCUGUCCACAGUGUAAAUCAGUUAUAGCCUAUUAAAUGUGUAACCGUGA